UACGUAGGGUCCGAGCGUUGUCCGGAAUUACUGGGCGUAAAGCGUGCGUAGGUGGUGAGUUAAGUCUGUCGUGAAAGCCCCGGGCUCAACCUGGGAAUGGCGAUGGAUACUGGCUCGCUAGAGUGCGGUAGGGGAGAAUGGAAUUCCGGUGUAGCGGUGAAAUGCGCAGAUAUCGGGAGGAACACCGGUGGCGAAGGCGGUUCUCUGGGCCUUACCUGG
rnacentral:rRNA from 1 species